CUACGGGCGGCUCCAGUAAGGAAUAUUGCGCAAUGGAGGCAACUCUGACGCAGCCAUGCCGCGUGCAGGAAGAAGGCCUUAUGGGUCGUAAACUGCCUUUAUUUAGGAAUAAACCCCCGAACGUGUUCGGGGCUGAAGGUACUAAACGAAUAAGCACCGGCUAACUCCGUGCCAGCAGCCGCGGUAAUACGGAGGGUGCAAGCGUUAUCCGGAUUUAUUGGGUUUAAAGGGUGCGCAGGCGGGCUAUUAAGUCAGUGGUGAAAUCCCGGGGCUCAACUCCGGAACUGCCAUUGAUACUGAUAGUCUUGAGUUUGGUUGAAGUGGGCGGAAUGUAGCAUGUAGCGGUGAAAUGCAUAGAUAUGCUACAGAACACCAAUCGCGAAGGCAGCUCACUAAGCCAAAACUGACGCUCAUGCACGAAAGCGUGGGGAUCAAACAGGAUUAGAUACCCCCGUAGUC
rnacentral:rRNA from 1 species